rnacentral:lncRNA from 1 species
GUCUAGAAAGUGAAAAUUAAAGUUUUUUUUUUCUCAGCAGCUGUAAAUGAAAAUUUCUCCCAAGGGGGCUAAAGAACAAAUGAGCCCGGCUUUUUUCUGAUGAUGCCCAUUUUCCUAGUUUCAUCACAUGCUUUCCUUAGAAAACAGUGCACGUUCACCUGCUUAGAAAACAGUGCAUGUCCACAUGCUUUCCUUAGAAAACAGUGCACGUUCACAUGCUUUCCUUUUAAUACAGUGCCGGUUCUCAUGCAUGCCCCAGUUGUUUUGUAGUAAACACUAGAGUAUUAAGAUUAAUAGAACUUGGAUCUUGAGAAGAC